rnacentral:rRNA from 1 species
ACGAACGCUGGCGGCGUGCCUAAUACAUGCAAGUAGCACGCUGAAGGAGGAGCUUGCUUCUCUGGAUGAGUUGCGAACGGGUGAGUAACGCGUAGGUAACCUGCCUGGUAGCGGGGGAUAACUAUUGGAAACGAUAGCUAAUACCGCAUAAUAGUAGAUGUUGCAUGACAUUUGCCUAAAAGGUGCAAUUGCAUCACUACCAGAUGGACCUGCGUUGUAUUAGCUAGUUGGUGGGGUAACGGCUCACCAAGGCGACGAUACAUAGCCGACCUGAGAGGGUGAUCGGCCACACUGGGACUGAGACACGACCCAGACUCCUACGGGAGGCAGCAGUAGGGAAUCUUCGGCAAUGGACGGAAGUCUGACCGAGCAACGCCGCGUGAGUGAAGAAGGUUUUCGGAUCGUAAAGCUCUGUUGUAAGAGAAGAACGAGUGUGAGAGUGGAAAGUUCACACUGUGACGGUAUCUUACCAGAAAGGGACGGCUAACUACGUG